GAUGUGUCUGCAAAGAGAAAGAUUUAUCGCCUUUAGAUGAGCCCGCACUAGAUUAGCUAGUUGGUGAGGUAAUUGCUCCACCAAGGCUACGAUCUAUAGCUGAUUUGAGAGGAUGAUCAGCAACACUGAGACUGAGACACGGCCCAGACUCCUACGGGAGGCAGCAGUGGGGAAUCUUGGACAAUGGGGGCAACCCUGAUCCAGCCAUGCCGCGUGAGUGAAGAAGUCUCUAGGGAUGUAAAGUUCUGUCAAGAGGGAGUAUAAUGAUAGUACCUCUAAAGGAAGCUCCGGCUAAUUACGUGCCAGCAGCCGCGGUAAUACGUAAGGAGCGAACGUUAUCCGGAUUUACUGGGUAUAAAGUGCGCGUAGGCGGUUACUUAAGUUAGGUGUUAAAUCCUUUAGCUCAACUAAAGUCUGCAUCUAAAACUGGGUAACUAGAGAAUAGUAGAGGAAAGCGGAACUCACAGUGUAGCGGUGAAAUGCAUAGAUAUUGUGAGGAACACCGGUUGCGAAGGCGGCUUUCUGGCCUAUUUCUGACGCUGAGGUGCGAAAGCGUGGGGAGCGAACGGGAUUAGAUACCCCGGUAGUCCACGCCGUAAACGUUGUUCACUGGGUGUUGGAGGUAUCGACCCCUUCAGUGCCGAAGAUAAUUCGUUAAGUGAACCACCUGGGGAGUACGACCGCAAGGUUAAAACUCAAAGGAAUUGACGGGGGCCCGCACAAGCAGUGGAGCAUGUGGUUUAAUUCGAUGAUACGCGAAAAACCUUACCAAGACUUGACAUCUAUCGAAGUUUCUAGAAAUAGAGAUGUGCCCUUCGGGGAACGGUAAGACAGGUGGUGCAUGGCUGUCGUCAGCUCGUGUCGUGAGAUGUUGGGUUAAGUCCCGCAACGAGCGCAACCCUUGUCUUGUGUUGCCAGCACGUUAUGGUGGGAACUCACAAGAUACAGCCUGUAAAAAGCAGGAGGAAGGUAGGGACGACGUCAAGUCAUCAUGCCCCUUAUGUCUUGGGCUACACACAUGCUACAAUGGCCGGUACAAAGAGUCGCUAAGCCGCGAGGCCAUGCCAAUCUCAAAAAACCGGUCUCA
rnacentral:rRNA from 1 species